rnacentral:rRNA from 1 species
GUACACACCGCCCGUCACAUCACGAAAGUGGRUUGUACUAGAAGUCUGCAGGCUAACCCGMAAGGGAGGCAGCGGCCCAAGGUAUGAMUUCAUGAUUGGGGUGAAGUCGUAACAAGGUAGCCGUAGGUGAACCUGCAGAAGGAUCA